UAAUUGCGCGAUUUAAUGUGUCUUUUUCUUCACUAGAAAAAAAUAAAUCUCAAGCAAUAUAGCAAGGUUAGUAAUAGUGCAAUUGUAAAACAUAGCUUACUCUAUAUUAUAUCUGAAAUUUCGAGGACGAAAUUUUUAUAAGGAGGGAGGAAUGUUAUGAUCCAAAGUUUUGCUUGUUUAAGUUUCGCCACUCGAGUAACAAUUGUGAAUUUCAAAUAAAACAAUAAGUGUUUUUGAAGUAAUUUGCAGUGCCCGAUGAAAAUGAAAGAACCAAAAUAACAUAAUAAUAAGGACUUCUAAGUAAGAUUGCUAGAUAUUUCACCACCGCUUGGUUCUUGAGUUAUCUGGACAAAAAUAUCUUCUGUUCUUAUUUUCUUAGCUCCCAAGUUUCCAUCGGCUAAGUCUUAUCUGCUCUCAAAAGAUCUCCGAUCGUGUACGAGGUCUGGUACCUAUAAAUACCCCUUCAGCCGGAGCUUGUCACCAUCGCCCAAUCAAGCGCACAUCUCCUUUCCUUUCUGUUCCACCAUUAGGGAAGUUCUCUGCUUCUGCUUCUUAGCUAGCGAGACUAGAAUAGGAGAAUAGGAGAAUCAGAGAAGCUGCCUGGAAGAUUUUAAAGUACAUCAGGAUGGGCGUACAGAGGUCAGGGGAAAACUGAAGUUUAAUCACCGAGGACAGUCAAGGCAAGCUGCGUAUACCAGAAUCUUCUUGUGUGCUUUGUAUUCCCUUCUUUGAUUUAUUUGGUUGCUAUGCUUAUAUGUGUUUUGUAUGCUCUUAAUUCUCUAUAUCGGUAGAGCUGCUUCCUUUGUUGUUUUAGCACAUUUUUAUUGUUGUAUAUUGGUCAAGCAAGAUAAAAUAUGGGAUCAUAUAUCAACAAAUUGGUUGGUCAUAAUCAUGAAAAGUGUGGUGUAUCCAGCCUGAGACGGUCGAUACCUGAAAGGUGUGGGAUGGCAGGCCCGGAUGGGAAGGCCCACACAAGUAGGGGACUCGGCGACGUGAUUCUCAGAGAUCGAUACUAUCACGAGGUGGGAUUAUGACAAUUGAUUUGCUGAUACUCUGCAGAGGCUUAACUAAAACUUGGGUUUUAAUAUAUACUAAGGAUGAUAUGGAUGUUGGUGUUGCUUGGUUUAUGCCAAAGAGCGUUUAGUCGCUAUGAGUGCAUAUCGCACCCUGCUGAGCUAUGAGAUAUAAUGGAAUGUAAAAUCUGUAUAUUCUUGCUGAAUAUGUUUAACAUACUCACAGUCUUUUAUUUUUAUCUGGUAUGCGCAGAUCAAUUUUAGGAUCAAGUGGCGACGGCUGAAAAUCCAUAUGACGGCAUAUAGCGUAGAAGUGGAGCGAGAUAUUAAUAAAACAAAAUAUCACUAGCGUUGUAAUAAAUAAGUUGUACUUGUAAUAUUUGAUAAUGAAUAAAGUGGAGACCUUGCUUGGCA